AUUGAACGCUGGCGGCAGGCCUAACACAUGCAAGUCGAACGAGUGGCGGACGGGUGAGUAAAGUCUGGGAAACUGCCUGAUGGAGGGGGAUAACUACUGGAAACGGUAGCUAAUACCGCAUACCAUCGGAUGUGCGCAGAUUGGAUUAGCGAGUAGGGGGGGUAAAGGCUCACCUAGGAGACGAACCCUAGCUGGUCUGCGAGGAUGACCAGCCCCGCUGGAACUGCGCCACGGUCCAGACUCCUACGGUAGGCAGCCGUGGGGAAUAUUUCACAAUUGGCGCAAUCCUGAUACAGCCAUCCCGCUUGUAUGAUGAAGGCCUUCGGGUUUUAAAGUACUUUCAGCGCGGAGGCGUUACCCGCAGAAGAAGCACCGGCUAACUCCGUGCCAGCGGCCGCGGUAAUUC
rnacentral:rRNA from 1 species